AGUGAACGCUGGCGGUAGGCCUAACACAUGCAAGUCGAACGGCAGCACAGGAGAGCUUGCUCUCUGGGUGGCGAGUGGCGGACGGGUGAGGACUACAUCGGAAUCUACUCUGUCGUGGGGGAUAACGUAGGGAAACUUACGCUAAUACCGCAUACGACCUACGGGUGAAAGCAGGGGAUCUUAGGACCUUGCGCGAUUGAAUGAGCCGAUGUCGGAUUAGCUAGUUGGCUGGGUAAAGGCACACCAAGGCGACGAUCCGUAGCUGGUCUGCCUGCAUGUUCCGCCACACGGAAUCUGAGGCGGGAUCCAGUCUCGGACUGGAGGCAGCAGUGGGGCAGAGUGGACAAUGGGUGCAAGCCUUAUCCUGCAAUACUGCGUGGGUGAAGAAUAGGUUCGCGAUGAAAAGCGCUUAUGUUGCCAAAGAAAUCAAGCUUGCUAAUCCCCGGUUGUGAUGACGGUACCCACGGAAUAAGCACCGGCUAACUGCGUGCCAGCAGCCGCCGUAA
rnacentral:rRNA from 1 species